GGUUUUUUGGAAUAUUUGGAAAAUUGGGUCUGCUCAAUGAUUGAUAUUAAAUAGCUGCAGUAAUUUGACUGUACAAAGGUAGCAUAAUAAUUAGUUUAUUGAUUGUGAACUGGAAUGAAUGAUUUGAUGGAAAUGAUCUGUCUCGAAUUUAUGUAUAAGUUGAAGUUAAUUUUUGAGUAAGAAAGCUUAAUUGUGGUUAAGGGACGAGAAGACCCUAUAGAACUUUAUAACAUUAAUUGGUAAUAAUAUAAAUGUUGUUUGGUUGGGGUGAUCGGAAAAAUAAUUUAACUUUUUUUUUUGUUUACAAUAAUUUUUGUUUAUUUGAUUUAAAUUUUUAUAUUAAGAUAAAGUUACCUUAGGGAUAACAGCAUAAUUUUUAUGGAAAGUUCUAAUUGAUAUAAGGGUUUGUGACCUCGAUGUUGAAUUAGGUUGACUAAUAGGGGUAGAAGUUUAUAAAGUUGGUCUGUUCAACCAUUAAAAUCCUACA
rnacentral:rRNA from 1 species